rfam:Dendroctonus ponderosae Seq01028957, whole genome shotgun sequence.
UUUGCGCCCUAUCGAAGCUGAGCGGCGGUGUUUGAGCCGCCGCCCGGUCAAAAUGGGCCCACAUUAGACUCCUUCAUUGGUCACUGGAUGGUUGCUUUAAUAGCUGUGCCAGUAUCACCCAAAAGGAGAACAGCG